rnacentral:rRNA from 1 species
UACGUAGGGGGCAAGCGUUGUCCGGAUUUAUUGGGCGUAAAGAGCGUGUAGGCGGUCAGGUAGGUCGGUUGUGAAAACUGGAGGCUCAACCUUCAGAGGUCGACCGAAACCCCCUGGCUAGAGUCCGGGAGAGGAGAGUGGAAUUCCUGGUGUAGCGGUGAAAUGCGCAGAUAUCAGGAAGAACACCUAUGGCGAAGGCAGCACUCUGGGACGGUACUGACGCUGAGACGCGAAAGCGUGGGGAGCGAACAGG